UGCCAGCCGCCGCGGUAAGACGUAGGGAGCAAGCGUUGCCCGGAAUUACUGGGCGUAAAGCGCACGCAGGCGGCUUGAUAAGUCUGAUGUGAAAGCCCGGGGCUCAACCCCGGAAGUGCAUUGGAAACUGGCGAACUUGAGUACGGGAGAGGAAAGUGGAAUUCCGAGUGUAGGGGUGAAAUCCGUAGAUAUUCGGAGGAACACCAGUGGCGAAGGCGGCUUUCUGGACCGAUACUGACGCUGAGACGCGAAAGCGUGGGGAGCAAACAGGAUUAGAUA
rnacentral:rRNA from 1 species